UUGUGGUGUUCUACGACAAAAAAAGCAACAGAGAUGUAAAAGCAAGUUACACUACCGCAUCUUCCUCGUCAUUGAUAUGCAGCUACUGACAUAACCAGGAGCGCUGGUGACAGUGCAGGGGAAGAUGGACAUCCAGAGUGGCAUACAGAUGGCAAUGGAGACUCUCCCCUCCUCCCCCCAACAGUCGGGUACCCAUCAGCAGAGCGAGCCAGAGGACGGCCAGACAGAGGGGAGUGCCAGGCCUACCGCUGACAAUCACAGCAAGGACACCGAGCCAGCUGCUGGCCACCAAGAUGACAAAAUCUGUUUUCACAGACACUCCGAAACCAAGAAGCUACUACUACAAAAUACAUUGUGAUCUCUGGUGGACAACCAGAGACUUACACAUCUAGAGACUUUACUCCCUGUAGAUGGAUUGAGUGUUUUCAACAGAGAGACAGCAAAGACAUACACACGUAAAUAUGUACAUUGCAAUUCUUUUGAAUGAGCGGUCGUUUAUGUGCAAAGUAUUUGCGUUUUAUUAGCAUAGUUAUCAGCUGUCUGUACGAUAGUGUAAUUUCUUUCUCUCCCUUUACCGCUCUUUUGAAUCUGCCAUUUUGUGUAACAAGCCGUCAUAUCAUUUUAGUCCACUAGGGACUUUUCAUUGCAUUGUGUAGUAAUCAAUGUGUAAACUAUCCUGUUUGUGUGUUUAUGUAAUUCUGUGAUUAUUUAGUUAGUAAAUAAAUAAGCCAAUUUGUA